UUAAUUGAAGAGUUUGAUCAUGGCUCAGAUUGAACGCUGGCGGCAGGCCUAACACAUGCAAGUCGAGCGGCAGCACAGAGGAACUUGUUCCUUGGGUGGCGAGCGGCGGACGGGUGAG
rnacentral:rRNA from 1 species